GACGAACGCUGGCGGCGUGCUUAACACAUGCAAGUCGAACGGAAAGGCCCUGCUUUUGUGGGGUGCUCGAGUGGCGAACGGGUGAGUAACACGUGAGUAACCUGCCCUUGACUUUGGGAUAACUUCAGGAAACUGGGGCUAAUACAGGAUAGGAGCUCCUGCUGCAUGGUGGGGGUUGGAAAGUUUCGGCGGUUGGGGAUGGACUCGCGGCUUAUCAGCUUGUUGGUGGGGUAGUGGCUUACCAAGGCUUUGACGGGUAGCCGGCCUGAGAGGGUGACCGGCCACAUUGGGACUGCGAUACGGCCCAGACUCCUACGGGAGGCAGCAGUGGGGAAUAUUGCACAAUGGGCGGACGCCUGAUGCAGCAACGCCGCGUGCGGGAUGACGGCCUUCGGGUUGUAAACCGCUUUCGCCUGUGACGAAGCGUGAGUGACGGUAAUGGGUAAAGAAGCACCGGCUAACUACGUG
rnacentral:rRNA from 1 species